rnacentral:rRNA from 1 species
AACGAACGCUGGCGGCGUGCCUAACACAUGCAAGUCGAGCGAGAAAGGGAGCAAUCCCCUGAGUACAGCGGCGCACGGGUGAGUAACACGUAGGUGAUCUCCCCUCGAGCCCGGAAGUAACCUACCGAAAGGUGGGCUAAUACCGGAUAUGACCACGGGAGUUUUGGCUCCUGCGGUGAAAGAUGGCCUCUACCUGUAAGCUAUCACUCAAGGAUUGAGCCUGCGUGCCAUUAGCUAGUUGGUGAGGUAACGGCUCACCAAGGCUAUGAUGGCUAGCUGGUCUGAGAGGAUGGCCAGCCACACUGGGACUG